rnacentral:rRNA from 1 species
CUACGGGAGGCAGCAGUGAGGAAUAUUGAUCAAUGGGCGAGAGCCUGAACCAGCCAAGUAGCGUGCAGGAAGACGGCCCUAUGGGUUGUAAACUGCUUUUAUAAGGGAAUAAAGUGAGCCUCGUGACUCCUUUUGCAUGUACCUUAUGAAUAGGGACCGGCUAAUUCCGUGCCAGCAGCCGCGGUAAUACGGAAGGUCCGGGCGUUAUCCGGAUUUAUUGGGUUUAAAGGGAGCGUAGGCCGGAGAUUAAGCGUGUCGUGAAAUGUAGAUGCUCAACAUCUGCACUGCAGCGCGAACUGGUUUCCUUGAGUACGCACAAAGUGGGCGGAAUUCGUGGUGUAGCGGUGAAAUGCUUAGAUAUCACGAAGAACUCCGAUUGCGAAGGCAGCUCACUGGAGCGCAACUGACGCUGAAGCUCGAAAGUGCGGGUAUCGAACAGGAUUAGAUACCCUGGUAGUCCGCACGGUAAACGAUGGAUGCCCGCUGUUGGUCUGAAUAGGUCAGCGGCCAAGCGAAAGCAUUAAGCAUCCCACCUGGGGAGUACGCCGGCAACGGUGCAACUCAAAUGAAUUGACGGA